rnacentral:lncRNA from 1 species
UGUACUUGUCAUGCAGCGUCCUUUAUAACUCCUUUGGGCGAACACUAGGAUCUUCUUUUACCCAGUCCAUGACUUCCUCACACACCCAUGCCUUUGAAGCAUUAUGCUGCUCCUUUUUUCUUUGUACUAGCACAUGUGUGCUUCUCCAAAUGAACCUCGACCUGCAGUAAAUUGUAAUGGGUAAGAAAAUAGAGUCAACUCCAUUUAAUAACAGCUAGAGUAUGCAACUAACUAAAAUAUAUACCUCCAUAGUUUCUCCAUCAUCCAACCUCCCAACAUGAAUUCUCCAUGUGCAAUCUUUAGACUCGCGACAAUGAGCCCUGAAUCGUGUAGGCUCACUUUUGUCAACUUGAAAAUCAAACUCUUUCUUUAUGGCAUACAUAGCAAUUGCCAACCUAAACUCUUCAAUAUUAGGAUACUUUGCA